rnacentral:rRNA from 1 species
UACGGAGGGUGCAAGCGUUAUCCGGAUUCACUGGGUUUAAAGGGUGCGUAGGUGGGUUGGUAAGUCAGUGGUGAAAUCUCCGAGCUUAACUUGGAAACUGCCGUUGAUACUAUCAAUCUUGAAUAUCGCGUAGGUAAGCGGAAUAUGUCAUGUAGCGGUGAAAUGCUUAGAUAUGACAUAGGACACCAAUUGCGAAGGCAGCUUACUUCACGAUCAUUGACACUGAGGCACGAAAGCGUGGGGAGCAAACAGG